rnacentral:tRNA from 1 species
GAAAAAGUACUGCAAGAACUGCUAAUUCAUGCUCCCAUGNAUAAGAACAUGGCUUUUUCA